UGGAGAGUUUGAUCCUGGCUCAGGACGAACGCUGGCGGCGUGCUUAACACAUGCAAGUCGAACGAGAUCCAUGCAGUAGCAAUACUGCGGAAGAUCUAGUGGCGAACGGGUGCGUAACACGUGAGGAACUUGUCCCGGUCUCUGGGAUAACAGUUGGAAACGACUGCUAAUACCGGAUGACGUCGGAGCAUCGCAUGGUGCGCUGACGAAAGGGUUACUGGAUCGGGAGAGCCUCGCGGCCUAUCAGCUUGUUGGUGGGGUAACGGCCCACCAAGGCAUCGACGGGUAGCUGGUCUGAGAGGAUGAUCAGCCACACUGGGACUGAGACACGGCCCAGACUCCUACGGGAGGCAGCAGUGGGGAAUCUUGCGCAAUGGGCGAAAGCCU
rnacentral:rRNA from 1 species